UCGGGGGUCGUCCAAUGGCAGGACAGCAGACUUUGAAUCUGCGAAUCGAGGUUCGAGUCCUCGCCCCCGAG
rnacentral:tRNA from 1 species